rnacentral:misc_RNA from 1 species
GAAGGUAACGGUAACCUUGAGCUUGAACUACCAAGGAAAUUCUCAUUUCGCAUAACGAAUUUGUCAGUUCUUUCUCAGUUACUCCAUAUAUCUACUGAACAGCAAAGCGAAGAACUGAGUACCCCUUUCUUUUCUUCCUUAGAAUCUAAUGAUCAAUCUUCCAUCGUUGUACAUGAUGAUACUUUAGUUUCUCCCGAUCACUUGAGUGAAGUUAAUUCUAUCAGGGAUGAAGCAAGUAGCUCAAGUCCCCAAGAACUGGG